rfam:Colletotrichum salicis strain CBS 607.94 Scaffold_760.1, whole genome shotgun sequence.
GGCCCUCUGGCGCAACGGUAGCGCGUUCGACUCCAGAUCGGAAUAUCUCGAGAUGCCAUCGAAAGGUUAUCUGUUCAAAUCAGGUGGGGGUCA